AGGACGAACGCUGGCGGCGUGCUUAACACAUGCAAGUCGAGCGGUAAGGCCUUUCGGGGUACACGAGCGGGCGAACGGGUGAGUAACACGUGGGUGAUCUGCCCUGCACUCUGGGAUAAGCCUGGGAAACUGGGUCUAAUACCGGAUAUGACCUGCUCUCGCAGUGGGGGGUGGGUAGGAAAAGUAUUUAGUCGGGUGCAGGAGUCGGGGCCCCGGCGGUCCUAUCAGUCUUUGGUUUGGGUAGGGGUAACUGGCCCUAACCGAAA
rnacentral:rRNA from 1 species